rnacentral:rRNA from 1 species
AUUGAACGCUGGCGGCAGGCCUAACACAUGCAAGUCGAACGAGUGGCGGACGGGUGAGUAAUGUCUGGGAAACUGCCUGAUGGAGGGGGAUAACUACUGGAAACGGUAGCUAAUACCGCAUACCAUCAGAUGUGCCCAGAUGGGAUUAGCUAGUAGGUGGGGUAAAGGCUCACCUAGGCGACGAUCCCUAGCUGGGCUGAGAGGAUGACCCGGCCCACUGGAACCUAGACACGGUACCGACUCCUACGGGAGGGCGGAGUGGGGAAUAUUGCACCAUGGGCGCAAGCCUGAUGGAGCCAUGCCGCGUGGAUGAAGAAGGCCCUCGGGGUUUAAAGUACUUUCAGCGGAGAGGCGGUACCCGCAGAAGAAGCACCGGCUAACUCCGUGCCAGCCGCCGCGGUAAUAC